rnacentral:rRNA from 1 species
UGGGGAAUAUUGCACAAUGGGCGCAAGCCUGAUGCAGCCAUGCCGCGUGUAUGAAGAAGGCCUUCGGGUUGUAAAGUACUUUCAGCGGGGAGGAAGGCGAUAAGGUUAAUACCCUUGUCGAUUGACGUUACCCGCCGAAGACGCACCGGCUAACUCCGUGCCAGCAGCCGCGGUAAUACGGAGGGUGCAAGCGUUAAUCGGAAUUACUGGGCGUAAAGCGCACGCAGGCGGUCUGUCAAUUCGGAUGUGAAAUCCCCGGGCUCAACCUGGGAACUGCAUUCGAAACUGGCAGGCUAGAGUCUUGUAGAGGGGGGUAGAAUUCCAGGUGUAGCGGUGAAAUGCGUAGAGAUCUGGAGGAAUACCGGUGGCGAAGGCGGCCCCCUGGACAAAGACUGACGCUCAGGUGCGAAAGCGUGGGGAGCAAACA